rnacentral:rRNA from 1 species
AUAGAGAUAUAUCUUACCGAUACGGAGCGAACGAGGGGAAUUGAAACAUCUUAGUACCCUCAGGAAAAGAAAUCAAAAGAGAUUGCGUCAGUAGCGGCGAGCGAAAGCGCAAGAGGGCAAACCCAGUGCUUGCACUGGGGGUUGUAGGACUGCAAUGUGCAAGGGCGAAGGUUAGCAGAACACUCUGGAAAGUGUAGCCAUAGAGGGUGAUAGUCCCGUAUGCGAAAGCCUAAGCCUAGCUAGCAGUAUCCUGAGUAGGGCGGGACACGCGAAAUCCUGUCUGAAGCUGGGUAGACCACUAUCCAACCCUAAAUACUCCUACCAGAUCGAUAGCGAACAAGUACCGUGAGGGAAAGGUGAAAAGAACGGCGGUGAGCCGAGUGAAAUAGAACCUGAAACCAUUUGCUUACAAUCAUUCAGAGCCCUAUGGAGCAAUCCAGGGUGAUGGACUGCCUUUUGCAUAAUGAGCCUGCGAGUUGUGGUGUCUGGCAAGGUUAAGCACACGCGAAGCCGUAGCGAAAGCGAGUCUGAAUAGGGCGCUAAGUCAGAUGCUGCAGACCCGAAACGAAGUGAUCUAUCCAUGAGCAGGUUGAAGCUAGUGUAAGAACUAGUGGAGGACCGAACCCGCUAGCGUUGAAAAGCUAUGGGAUGACUUGUGGAUAGGGGUGAAAGGCCAAUCAAACUUCGUGAUAGCUGGUUCUCUCCGAAAUAUAUUUAGGUAUAGCGUUGUGUCGUAAUAUAAGGGGGUAGAGCACUGAAUGGGCUAGGGCAUACACCAAUGUACCAAACCCUAUCAAACUCCGAAUACCUUAUAUGUAAUCACAGCAGUCAGGCGGCGAGUGAUAAAAUCCGUCGUCAAGAGGGAAACAACCCAGACUACCCGCUAAGGUCCCCAAAUCUUACUUAAGUGGAAAACGAUGUGAAGUUACUUAAACAACCAGGAGGUUGGCUUAGAAGCAGCCAUCCUUUAAAGAAAGCGUAAUAGCUCACUGGUCUAGUGAUUUUGCGCGGAAAAUAUAACGGGGCUAAAGUAAGUACCGAAGCGGUAGGCUUGUGCUUAGUUAAAUUCUUU